CUCAAAAUAAAAUACCUAAUGAAAGAAACUGUAAAUUAAAUUAACUUGUUGUUCAGGCCGGUGCAAUAUGGGGCUUGUGCGCUGGUCCCUACGACGCUCGUAAACAAGGUCUUACAGGCGUUGCUAAAGCUUCUUUUGUGGCGAACUCAGUUGGCAGUUUUGGGUUUCGAUGCGGAUUUGUGGCUGGCUUUUUCAGUAUUACUCGAUGAGGGGUUCAGAAUAAUAAGCACAAGUAGAUACAAAAUUGGCAAAAUAAUAAAAAAUAUCAAUGUCACAUUAUGCCUAGAUAGUAGAUACAUCAUAUCCUGGGAGGCUAGGAGGAUCCUCCAAUUUUUUUUAUUUUUUAUUUUUUAACUUUGUUGAUCGUUUAGGGUACAACUUGGUUGUGCCAUACAAAGAUAUGAUUUAAAACAAAUA